rnacentral:lncRNA from 1 species
GAUCCACAGGCCUUUUCUAAUCCUUAUCUUUACAGUAUUUUUAUUUAAUUUCGUUUCAAAAUUUUUCUAAAACUGAAAUUAAACUUUCGAGUUGCUAUUAAAGAAUAUUAUAAUAAAAGAUCUGAAAGAUUUUUCCAACAAUCUAGAAGCAAAAUUGAUUUAAUCUUUCUAUUUCUUUAUUAUAGUAAUUAAAAUAUUUUUUAUAAAUCAAUAUAUAUAUAUAUAUUUCAUAAUCUCCCUGAAUAAAACGUAGAGUAUCUUACUAUUAUUUUUCUAAAAUUCAAAACUAUUUUGUGACAUA